GCUGGGCAUGGUGGCUCACGCCUGUAAUCCCAGCACUUUGGGAGCUGAGGUGGGCGGAUCACCUGAGGUCAGGAGUUCGAGACCAGCCUGGCCAACAUGGUGAAACCCCAUCUCUA
rnacentral:SRP_RNA from 1 species